AACUGAGAUACCAAGUACCAAAAGCAGGAC
rnacentral:piRNA from 1 species